GUUUGAUCCUGGCUCAGAGUGAACGCUGGCGGCAGGCCUAACACAUGCAAGUCGAGCGGCAGCGCGUCCGACCACCCUCGGGUGGUCGGAUGGCGGCGAGCGGCGGACGGGUGAGGAAUGCAUCGGAAUCUGCCUCGUUGUGGGGGAUAACGUAGGGAAACUUACGCUAAUACCGCAUACGACCUACGGGUGAAAGUGGGGGACCUUCGGGCCUCACGCGAUGAGAUGAGCCGAUGCCGGAUUAGCUAGUUGGCGGGGUAAAGGCCCACCAAGGCGACGAUCCGUAGCUGGUCUGAGAGGAUGAUCAGCCACACUGGAACUGAGACACGGUCCAGACUCCUACGGGAGGCAGCAGUGGGGAAUAUUGGACAAUGGGGGCAACCCUGAUCCAGCCAUGCCGCGUGUGUGAAGAAGGCCUCGGUU
rnacentral:rRNA from 1 species